rnacentral:rRNA from 1 species
UACAGAGGGUGCAAGCGUUGUCCGGAAUUAUUGGGCGUAAAGAGCUCGUAGGUGGUUUGUCGCGUUGUCCGUGAAAAACUCACAACUCAAUUGUGGGCGUGCGGGCGAUACGGGCAGACUGGAGUACUGCAGGGGGAGACUGGAAUUCCUGGUGUAGCGGUGGAAUGCGCAGAUAUCAGGAGGAACACCGAUGGCGAAGGCAGGUCACUGGGCCGCAACUGACGCUGAGGAGCGAAAGCAUGGGGGAGCGAACAGG